rnacentral:lncRNA from 1 species
UAACAAGAAUGUGUCCAAAGUACACGGAUGCCCCACUCGCACUAUCCUUUUGCAUGUUCCAUGGACCGUGAAAUUGGGUAAUAAUCUAAUUUGGAAUUGAAAUUAGAAAGAUUAUACUAUAGGGAACAUAUGUACUAAGUUUCAAGUUGAUUGGACUUCAAUUUCAUCAAAAACUACCUUGACCAAAAACUUUAACCUGAAACUUCCACUUUCAUUUUCUAUGUUCAGUGGACCGUGAAAUUGAAGUCAAAAGUCUAAUUUGGCUUUAAAAUUAGAAAGAUCAUAUAUCAUAAGCAACAAGUGUACUAAGUUUCAAGUUGAUUGGACUUCAGCUUCAUCAAAAACUACCUUGACCAAAAACUUUAACCUGAACGAACGGACGCACAGACGGACGAACGGAACCACAGACGAACGAACGGAGCCACAGACCAGAAAAC